rnacentral:rRNA from 1 species
UACCAGCUCUCCGAGUGGUGUGGAUGUUUAUUGGGCCUAAAGCAUCCGUAGCUGGCUGGACAAGUCCCCUGUUAAAUCCACCGAUUUAAUCGUUGGUGUGCGGGGGAUACUGUUCGGCUAGGGGACGGGAGAGGCCGACGGUAUUUCCGGGGUAGGGGUGAAAUCCUAUAAUCCCGGGAAGACCACCAGUGGCGAAGGCUGUCGGCUAGAACGCGCCCGACGGUUAGGGAUGAAAGCUGGGGGAGCGAACCGGAUUAGAUACCCGGGUAGUCCCAGCUGCAAACGAUGCAGGCUAGGUGUUUGGGCGGCCACGUGCCGCUCUAGUGCCGCGAGGAAGCUGUUAAGCCUGCCGCCUGGGGAGUACGGCCGCAAGGCUGAAACUUAAAGGAAUUGGCGGGGGAGCACCACAAGGGGUGAAGCUUGCGGUUU